rnacentral:rRNA from 1 species
UGGGGAAUAUUGGACAAUGGGGGCAACCCUGAUCCAGCCAUGCCGCGUGAGUGAUGAAGGCCUUCGGGUUGUAAAGCUCUUUUGGCGGGGACGAUGAUGACGGUACCCGCAGAAUAAGCCCCGGCUAACUUCGUGCCAGCAGCCGCGGUAAGACGAAGGGGGCUAGCGUUGUUCGGAAUUACUGGGCGUAAAGCGAGUGUAGGCGGUUGCCGUAGUCAGGUGUGAAAGCCUUGAGCUCAACUCAAGAAAUGCACUUGAUACUGGGUGACUAGAGGACCGGAGAGGAUAGUGGAAUUCCCCAGUGUAGUGGUGAAAUACGUAGAGAUUGGGAAGAACACCAGUGGCGAAGGCGGCUAUCUGGACGGUUACUGACGCUAAGACUCGAAAGCGUGGGGAGCAAACAGGAUUAGAUACCCUGGUAGUCCACGCCGUAAACGAUGGGUGCUAGACGUUGGCGAGCUUGCUCGUCAGUGUCGCAGCUAACGCGUUAAGCACCCCCGCCUGGGGAGUACGGCCGCAA